rnacentral:rRNA from 1 species
ACCGUAUAGGGGAGCCGUAGGGAAACCGAGUCUUAACCGGGCGUUAAGUUGCAGGGUAUAGACCCGAAACCCGGUGAUCUAGCCAUGGGCAGGUUGAAGGUUGGGUAACACUAACUGGAGGACCGAACCGACUAAUGUUGAAAAAUUAGCGGAUGACCUGUGGCUGGGGGUGAAAGGCCAAUCAAACCGGGAGAUAGCUGGUUCUCCCCGAAAGCUAUUUAGGUAGCGCCUCGUGAACUCAUCUCCGGGGGUAGAGC